UACGUAGGGUGCGAGCGUUAAUCGGAAUUACUGGGCGUAAAGCGUGCGCAGGCGGUUGUGCAAGACCGAUGUGAAAUCCCCCGGGCUUAACCUGGGAAUGGCAUUGGUGACUGCACGGCUAGAGUGUGUCAGAGGGGGGUAGAAUUCCACGUGUAGCAGUGAAAUGCGUAGAGAUGUGGAGGAAUACCGAUGGCGAAGGCAGCCCCCUGGGAUAACACUGACGCUCAUGCACGAAAGCGCGGGGAGCAAACAGG
rnacentral:rRNA from 1 species